UCUUCAUCCCUCGUACUAUCUCACCGGUCAGAGCGUCGAGAGAUCAUGCGAAAUGAAGAGA
rnacentral:pre_miRNA from 1 species